rnacentral:rRNA from 1 species
UACGUAGGGUGCAAGCGUUGUCCGGAAUUAUUGGGCGUAAAGAGCUCGUAGGCGGUUCGUCGCGUCGGCUGUGAAAACCCGGAGCUCAACUCCGGGCCUGCAGUCGAUACGGGCGGACUUGAGUGUUGCAGGGGAGACUGGAAUUCCUGGUGUAGCGGUGAAAUGCGUAGAUAUCAAGAGGAACACCUGAGGUGAAGACGGGUUGCUGGGCCGACACUGACGCUGAUGCGCGAAAGCCAGGGGAGCAAACGGG